rnacentral:rRNA from 1 species
UGGGGAAUAUUGCACAAUGGGCGCAAGCCUGAUGCAGCCAUGCCGCGUGUGUGAAGAAGGCCUUCGGGUUGUAAAGCACUUUCAGCGGGGAGGAAGGCGGUGAGGUUAAUAACCUCAUCGAUUGACGUUACCCGCAGAAGAAGCACCGGCUAACUCCGUGCCAGCAGCCGCGGUAAUACGGAGGGUGCAAGCGUUAAUCGGAAUUACUGGGCGUAAAGCGCACGCAGGCGGUUUGUUAAGUCAGAUGUGAAAUCCCCGGGCUCAACCUGGGAACUGCAUUCGAAACUGGCAGGCUAGAGUCUUGUAGAGGGGGGUAGAAUUCCAGGUGUAGCGGUGAAAUGCGUAGAGAUCUGGAGGAAUACCGGUGGCGAAGGCGGCCCCCUGGACAAAGACUGACGCUCAGGUGCGAAAGCGUGGGGAGCAAACAGG